GCAUCAGUAUUCAGUCGUCAGAGGUGAAAUUCUUGGAUUGACUGAAGACUAACUACUGCGAAAGCAUUUGCCAAGGACGUUUUCAUUAAUCAAGAACGAAAGUUAGGGGAUCGAAGAUGAUCAGAUACCGUCGUAGUCUUAACCAUAAACUAUGCCGACUAGGGAUCGGGUGGUGCUACUUUGCCCACUCGGCACCUUACGAGAAAUCAAAGUUUUUGGGUUCUGGGGGGAGUAUGGUCGCAAGGCUGAAACUUAAAGGAAUUGACGGAAGGGCACCACCAGGAGUGGAGCCUGCGGCUUAAUUUGACUCAACACGGGGAAACUCACCAGGUCCAGACGUAAUAAGGAUUGACAAGUUAGAGACUUCUCUUGAUCUUACGGGUGGUGGUGCAUGGCCGUUUUUAGUCCUUGGAGUGAUUUGUCUGCUUAAUUGCGAUAACGGACGAGACCUUAACCUGCUAAAUAGGGCUGCGAGCAUCUGCUCGGGUGCUCUUCUUAGAGGGACUAUGGGUAUCAAACCCAUGGAAGUUUGAGGCAACAACAGGUCUGUGAUGCCCUUAGACGUUCUGGGCCGCACGCGCGCUA
rnacentral:rRNA from 1 species